rnacentral:rRNA from 1 species
CAGUAGCCGCGGUAAUACGGAGGGUGCAAGCGUUAUCCGGAUUCACUGGGUUUAAAGGGUGCGUAGGUGGGCAGGUAAGUCAGUGGUGAAAUCUUUGGGCUUAACCCGAAAACUGCCGUUGAUACUAUCUGUCUUGAAUGUAGUGGAGGUGAGCGGAAUAUGUCAUGUAGCGGUGAAAUGCUUAGAUAUGACACAGAACACCCAUUGCGAAGGCAGCUCGCUACACUAUUAUUGACACUGAGGCACGAAAGCGUGGGGAUCAAACAGGAUUAGAGACUCGAGUAGUCCCUGUCUCUUAUAC